rnacentral:rRNA from 1 species
GAACGCUGGCGGCAGGCCUAACACAUGCAAGUCGUACGAGAAGGUUCCUUCGGGAACUGGAGAGUGGCGCACGGGUGAGUAACGCGUGGGGACCUACCUUUUAGUGGGGGAUAACGGUUGGAAACGACCGCUAAUACCGCAUACGCCCUUCGGGGGAAAGAUUUAUCGCUAAGAGAUGGACCCGCGUUGGAUUAGAUAGUUGGUGAGGUAACGGCUCACCAAGUCUUCGAUCCAUAGCUGGUUUGAGAGGAUGAUCAGCCACACUGGGACUGAGACACGGCCCAGACUCCUACGGGAGGCAGCAGUGGGGAAUAUUGGACAAUGGGCGCAAGCCUGAUCCAGCCAUGCCGCGUGAGUGAAGAAGGCCUUCGGGUUGUAAAGCUCUUUCAGAUGUGAAGA